UAAGCGGACGGGAGCCGCAGUGACCAGGUGGCUGGGACUGUUUAUUAAAAACACAGCACUGUGCAAAAUCGCAAGAUGACGUAUACGGUGUGACACCUGCCCGGUGCCGGAAGGUUAAUUGAUGGGGUUAUCCUUAGGGAGAAGCUCUUGAUCGAAGCCCCGGUAAACGGCGGCCGUAACUAUAACGGUCCUAAGGUAGCGAAAUUCCUUGUCGGGUAAGUUCCGACCUGCACGAAUGGUGUAACCAUGGCCACGCUGUCUCCACCCGAGACUCAGUGAAAUUGAAAUCGCAGUGAAGAUGCUGUGUACCCGCGGCUAGACGGAAAGACCCCGUGAACCUUUACUACAGCUUGGCACUGAACAUUGAACCUACAUGUGUAGGAUAGGUGGGAGACUUUGAAGCAGCGACGCUAGUUGUUGUGGAGUCAACCUUGAAAUACCACCCUUGUAGUUUUGAUGUUCUAACGUUGGCCCCUGAAUCGGGGUUACGGACAGUGCCUGGUGGGUAGUUUGACUGGGGCGGUCUCCUCCUAAAGAGUAACGGAGGAGCACGAAGGUUGGCUAAGUACGGUCGGACAUCGUACGGUUAGUGUAAUGGUAGAAGCCAGCUUAACUGCGAGACAGACACGUCGAGCAGGUACGAAAGUAGGUCAUAGUGAUCCGGUGGUUCUGAAUGGAAGGGCCAUCGCUCAACGGAUAAAAGGUACUCCGGGGAUAACAGGCUGAUACCGCCCAAGAGUUCAUAUCGACGGCGGUGUUUGGCACCUCGAUGUCGGCUCAUCACAUCCUGGGGCUGAAGUCGGUCCCAAGGGUAUGGCUGUUCGCCAUUUAAAGUGGUACGCGAGCUGGGUUUAGAACGUCGUGAGACAGUUCGGUCCCUAUCUGCCGUGGGCGUUUGAGAAUUGAGAGGGGUUGCUCCUAGUACGAGAGGACCGGAGUGAACGAACCGCUGGUGUUCGGGUUGUCAUGCCAAUGGCAUUGCCCGGUAGCUACGUUCGGAACUGAUAAGCGCUGAAAGCAUCUAAGCGCGAAGCAGGCCUCGAGAUGAGUUCUCACUAGACUUUUAAAGUCUCUGAAGGGCCGUUGAAGACUACAACGUUGAUAGGCAAGAUGUGGAAGUGGUGUGAGCCAUUAAGCUAACUUGUACUAAUUACCCGUGAGGCUUAACCAU
rnacentral:rRNA from 1 species